rnacentral:rRNA from 1 species
UACGUAGGGUGCGAGCGUUGUCCGGAAUUAUUGGGCGUAAAGAGCUCGUAGGCGGUGUGUCGCGUCGGCCGUGAAAACCUGCAGCUUAACUGUGGGCGUGCGGUCGAUACGGGCAUCACUGGAGUUCGGCAGGGGAGACUGGAAUUCCUGGUGUAGCGGUGAAAUGCGCAGAUAUCAGGAGGAACACCGGUGGCGAAGGCGGGUCUCUGGGCCGAUACUGACGCUGAGGGGCGAAAGCGUGGGGAGCAAACAGG